CCGACGGGUGGCAGCAGGGAGGAAGAGGGGGCAAGGGACGCAAGUCUGAACCAGCCAUGCCGCGUGCAGGAAGACGGCGCUAUGAGUUGUAAACUGCUUUUGUACGAGGGUAAAUCCCGAUACGUGUAUCGGGUUGAAAGUAUCGUACGAAUAAGGAUCGGCUAACUCCGUGCCAGCAGCCGCGGUAAUACGGAGGAUUCAAGCGUUAUCCGGAUUUAUUGGGUUUAAAGGGUGCGUAGGCGGUUCGAUAAGUUAGAGGUGAAAUCCCGGGGCUCAACUACGGCAUUGCCUGUGAUACUGUCGGGCUAGAGUGUAGUUGCGGUAGGCGGAAUGUAUGGUGUAGCGGUGAAAUGCAUAGAGAUCAUACAGAACACCGAUUGCGAAGGCAGCUUACCAAACUACGACUGACGUUGAGGCACGAAAGCGUGGGGAGCAAACAGGAUUAGAUACCCCUGUAGUC
rnacentral:rRNA from 1 species